UUCGGCGGUCAUAGCAGCGGGGAAAUACCUCUUCCCAUUCCGAACAGAGAAGUCAAGCCCGUCUGCGCCGAUGGUACUUGGGGCGAAAGCCCCUGGGAGAGUAGGGUGCCGCCGGUU
rnacentral:rRNA from 1 species